AGGUAGCUUGCUACUGAUCUUAGCGGCGGACGGGUGAGUAAUGCUUAGGAAUCUGCCUAUUAGUGGGGGACAACAUUUCGAAAGGAAUGCUAAUACCGCAUACGUCCUACGGGAGAAAGCAGGGGAUCUUCGGACCUUGCGCUAAUAGAUGAGCCUAAGUCGGAUUAGCUAGUUGGUGGGGUAAAGGCCUACCAAGGCGACGAUCUGUAGCGGGUCUGAGAGGAUGAUCCGCCACACUGGGACUGAGACACGGCCCAGACUCCUACGGGAGGCAGCAGUGGGGAAUAUUGGACAAUGGGCGCAAGCCUGAUCCAGCCAUGCCGCGUGUGUGAAGAAGGCCUUAUGGUUGUAAAGCACUUUAAGCGAGGAGGAGGCUACUUUAGAUAAUACCUAGAGAUAGUGGACGUUACUCGCAGAAUAAGCACCGGCUAACUCUGUGCCAGCAGCCGCGGUAAUACAGAGGGUGCAAGCGUUAAUCGGAUUUACUGGGCGUAAAGCGCGCGUAGGCGGCUAAUUAAGUCAAAUGUGAAAUCCCCGAGCUUAACUUGGGAAUUGCAUUCGAUACUGGUUAGCUAGAGUGUGGGAGAGGAUGGUAGAAUUCCAGGUGUAGCGGUGAAAUGCGUAGAGAUCUGGAGGAAUACCGAUGGCGAAGGCAGCCAUCUGGCCUAACACUGACGCUGAGGUGCGAAAGCAUGGGGAGCAAACAGGAUUAGAUACCCUGGUAGUCCAUGCCGUAAACGAUGUCUACUAGCCGUUGGGGCCUUUGAGGCUUUAGUGGCGCAGCUAACGCGAUAAGUAGACCGCCUGGGGAGUACGGUCGCAAGACUAAAACUCAAAUGAAUUGACGGGGGCCCGCACAAGCGGUGGAGCAUGUGGUUUAAUUCGAUGCAACGCGAAGAACCUUACCUGGCCUUGACAUAGUAAGAACUUUCCAGAGAUGGAUUGGUGCCUUCGGGAACUUACAUACAGGUGCUGCAUGGCUGUCGUCAGCUCGUGUCNUGAGAUGUUGGGUUAAGUCCCGCAACGAGCGCAACCCUUUUCCUUAUUUGCCAGCGAGUAAUGUCGGGAACUUUAAGGAUACUGCCAGUGACAAACUGGAAGAAGGCGGGGACAACGUCAA
rnacentral:rRNA from 1 species